rnacentral:misc_RNA from 1 species
GAAAAUGUUAAAAAUUACUCAAUUUUUCGAUCGAUAUAUACGCGCGACAUUAACGUGACUCGUUUCUCCGUGCAACUAAAGGCUAAUAGAAGUACUUGGAACGAGGCGAAGAAUUGAUCGAAGAAGAGCCAGACCAGUUCCACGCGGUUAUCCUUGUGAUAGGAGAGCCCAAGAAAUAGAGUAUAGUGAGCACCAAACAGGGGUACCAACACCAAAGUAGAUUUGGCCCACCUACUGUGUAAGAGAAACAAAUUUAUAUAUUCUUCAUUGUAAUAAUCCAUUUGUUCUUUUAUAUCGCAAUAAAAGUACGUUCUUUCAUCUUCAAUACAAA